rnacentral:rRNA from 1 species
CUGCUGCCUUCCGUAGGAGUUUGGGCCGUGUCUCAGUCCCAAUGUGGCCGAUCACCCUCUCAGGUCGGCUACUGAUCGUCGCCUUGGUAGGCUUUACCCCACCAACUAGCUAAUCAGACGCGGGUCCAUCUCAUACCACCGGAGUUUUCACACCGAAUCAUGCGAUUCUGUGCGCUUAUGCGGUAUUAGCAGUCAUUUCUAACUGUUAUCCCCCUGUAUGAGGCAGGUUACCCACGCGUUACUCACCCGUCCCG